rnacentral:rRNA from 1 species
GUCUACAGCCAAGCCAUCCUGAACAAGUCCGAUCCCAUUCAAUCUCGGAAGCUAAGCAGGGUCGGGCCUGGUUAGUACUUGGAUGAGAGACCACCUAGGAAGACCAGGUGCUGUGGGCG